AGAGUUUGAUCCUGGCUCAGAACGAACGCUGGCGGCAGGCUUAACACAUGCAAGUCGAACGCAUCCUUCGGGGUGAGUGGCAGACGGGUGAGUAACGCGUGGGAACGUGCCCUUCAGUUCGGGAUAACCCAGGGAAACUUGGGCUAAUACCGGAUACGUGCGAGAGCAGAAAGAUUUAUCGCUGAAGGAUCGGCCCGCGUCUGAUUAGCUAGUUGGUGAGGUAAUGGCUCACCAAGGCGACGAUCAGUAGCUGGUCUGAGAGGAUGAUCAGCCACAUUGGGACUGAGACACGGCCCAAACUCCUACGGGAGGCAGCAGUGGGGAAUAUUGGACAAUGGGCGCAAGCCUGAUCCAGCCAUGCCGCGUGAGUGAUGAAGGCCUUAGGGUUGUAAAGCUCUUUCGUCCGGGACGAUAAUGACGGUACCGGAAGAAGAAGCCCCGGCUAACUUCGUGCCAGCAGCCGCGGUAAUACGAAGGGGGCUAGCGUUGUUCGGAAUCACUGGGCGUAAAGGGCGCGUAGGCGGCUUUAUAAGUCGGGGGUGAAAGCCUGUGGCUCAACCACAGAAUUGCCUUCGAUACUGUAGAGCUUGAGACCGGAAGAGGUAAGUGGAACUGCGAGUGUAGAGGUGAAAUUCGUAGAUAUUCGCAAGAACACCAGUGGCGAAGGCGGCUUACUGGUCCGGUUCUGACGCUGAGGCGCGAAAGCGUGGGGAGCAAACAGGAUUAGAUACCCUAGUAGUCC
rnacentral:rRNA from 1 species